AACAUUCAUUGCUGUCGGUGGGUUUGCAACAGAAUAACUCACUGAUCAAUGAAUGCAG
ensembl:miRNA